rnacentral:misc_RNA from 1 species
AACCAUUCUCACCUGCGGCUAGACCUGCGGAGGGAUCAUUAUAGAAUUUCUACCACAGAAAAGAUUCCUGUUUCUCUCUGGGGAGAAGGGGUUUCUUUUCUGAACAACCAAACAAACAUGACUAGGAAAAUCAAGUGAUUGGGGGGGGGUCAUGGCUUGUUGGCUUGGCUUGACUGUGUAUGUGUGUGGCAUGCUGCACUCUGCACUGGCUAGCUAUGGCUUGCGGCUUGAAAAAGUUCU